rnacentral:misc_RNA from 1 species
CUGGAUGGUGCUAAAUCUACUUCGACACGGUUAAGGCAGAAUCCGAUACUGGCUCCACCAAUGCCACGUGUCCUCAGGUCUCCAAUAUAACUAUAUAUCCCCUUCACAAUCAAUUGUGUUCCCAAUUUCCGUUCACUCGACCUUGAUACCUCUAAAGUCCAAACCUUUUUCCCAUUUCUGUUAUCAGUUCUUGACUGGUUUUGUGUCCGUUUCAGUUACAAGUUAGAACCCAAAAAUAAGCAGGAAUAGUGCAAAUAUGGGUCGUUUAUGGACGUUGCUUACUCAUGUUCAUGCACUUUCUGGGCCAGUGUUGAUGUUGCUAUACCCCUUAUAUGCAUCAGUAAUGGCCAUAGAGAACCCCUCCAAAAUGGAUGAUGAACAGUGGCUUGCUUAUUGGAUCAUCUAUUAUUUUCUUACAUGGUCCUCCAAUCCAUCGUAGAAUGGUAAGAAAAGAAAACUACUUAUUCCAACUGAUGAAAAUUUUGCAAUAUUCCAGAAUUUGGUCAAGUGGGUUUUUUUUAGGAUCCCUAUCUGGUACACCGUGAAGUUAGUGUUGGUGGCAUGGCUAGUUCUACCACAGUUCAGAGGGGCAGCUUUCAUAUACGACAAAUUCGUAAGGGAAAAUGUGAAGAGAUAUGCAGGAGCGAGAGAUCAGCACCAUUCCCAUCACAGUUUCCCCAACGGCAGUGGCAAGGGCAAAAAAAAAUUUGUUCGAUUCAUAACCACAAAGGAAGUAAGUUAUCAAAUCUAAGCAUGCUUGCUUUAAUUAAUAAUUAGUUCAUGCCUUACGAAAGAGGCAAACAGCCACAACCACAACUUUUGAGGUUUAACCUUCAACUUUGUGAAAAGAAUCAAUAAACGCAUACAUGUAUAAUUCAUGCCAACAGCUCUUGAAGAAGGAAAUUAAACCCUUUCAUUAAUCAAUUAGGAAGUUUGAUUGUUUUAACAUAGUGAAUUGUUUGCUAUUGUGGAUGGACAGGGAGAGCAUGAACCUUACCGAUGAGGAAGAAGGCAAAGUGAAGACGUUUUCUUUUUUGGUGUGGAUAUGAUAAAUGUAGUUGUGCUUGUUUCUUUUCUUCGUUGAUUGUAUAUCUUUUUAAUGAUGAAUUAAUGUACAAUUAUCUCUGCUACUAUCAAUCAGCUUCGUGCGAUCUUUGUCAAUGGUAGUAGCGCUGGUGGGCCAACGACAGCAAUGCUUUGCCUAAUUUUCUUCGGUGUUACGCGUUCGUACAGUUUUCCGUUGCAACCGUCUUUUAUGUCAAUGAUCUGCGGCCUUAGUCCACGCGUACUGGCAAUGGGUAAUGACAAUUAACAUGCCAAGCACUUAAAUUAAAGAAAUAAAGCAAAUAAAUAAUUCAACAUUUUAUAUAAUUUAUUACGG